CAGCCAGCUGCCAACAUGGAGCUCAACUGAAUUGCCACAUAUACUCAUGCAAUAAGCACUUUACUUUGAGCUGAGGAGAACUUCACAUCAAAAUAGUUGGGGAGAGGCAAAAAUAAAUUCAGAAGUGUUAUUUCAAUAGUCAAAUACUUGUUAUAUAAAUGACAAAAUGAAAUUCAGUGAUACAAAACUGAAUUUGAUGAAUUGAUGAAGGAAAUGAACCCCACUACUGAAGGAGUGAAUAGAAUAUAAUGGCCACCACUUAUGGAGCACUCAACCUGUGUUAAACAUUGCACUGAGGGCCAUCAAUUUUACAAUAAUCUUAUGAGUUAAUUACUGUUCCCAUUUAACUUUUAAGAAUAGACGUAAGAAACACCAGUCACUGAGACAACAGCAUCUAAUGAUAAGUUCCUAUGGAAGAAUGCAUACACCUAAAAACAAACAUGGAUAUUUUAGCAAGACUUUCAAAGCCAGAAAACAAAUAGAUGUGUUACAAGAGAACUGCAGAAACUUUUGUUAAAUAGCAUCAACUAGUUUGGUCAGCCACUAAGGAAGGACAAAGUUCUCCAUUAUUUCUAAACUGGGGUAUGAGUACUCUACUGAUUGCUAUCUGAGGUCAACUAGGCUACGUGUGUAUGUGUAAUUUUCUUUUGCCUAUAAAUACCACGUUACAUAAGCAUGUCCUGAAGAUGAAAAGAUAACAUAAUUUAGUUUUACCAAAAGAGACUCUUUUUCAACAGAGGGAGCAUGGGGUCAAUGUCUAGCCCCCAUCUGAACUCAUCACUCCUACUAGAAGUACUGGUAUUAAUUCUCCAGUACCCCUGAGUGUAUAAGGACCCUUUAAUAAAGAUAUUUCCCUGAUAGCGAUGGAAUAAUCAAUGUUGAAAUGAUGCCUGGGCCAGUUUUUAAGACAGUAGAUCAGUUGUACCUCUGGAAAAUUUAAACACUGAAAAAUGUCCAGAUAUGCAGGAAAAUACAUGCACCAAAUGCAUACCCAUGUACAUAUGUUAAGGGUAUGGUGGUGAUGGAAUUACUAAGCAUUUUCUCCACGCACUCAACUCUUGCCCGAGAAAAUGUAUUUUCUGAUCAGUAAAAUAAACCAAGUACAUUUCCACAGCAUGGUGGUUCUCAAACUUCACUAUUAGAAUAAAUAUAGCCAGCAUUUCUUCUAUUACUUCCUAUGUACCAAGACCAUAAUAUCUUGUCUCCCAACAGCCCUGCCAAAUAGUUAUCAUUUCCCUCUUUCACUGAUGAGGUAACAGACCCAGUCAGGUCACAUUGUUUGAUUGUUAACACAUCUAGUAAGAGGCAAAUCACACUUUAAACCCAAGCAAUCUUCACCAAGAGCUCACACUCUUACUCAUUGAGCUAAAAUGUAAUACACUAGGGUUAAAGCCUAGGAAUGGAAAUAAUUACAAGCCCCCAGGUGAUUCUAAUGCAUCCAGCUCACUAUGGAUCCAAAAAUUCACUGAUGGUAAGGCAUUUGCUGGAAGCCUCAAAAUUAAAUGAUGGCAGAGGUGACAUUGGAACUCAGGUUACAAGGACUCCAUACCCAUUUCUGCGAGGCGAUAAUGCCUCAUGAAUCACCACGCCUGCUUCUCCUUGAUUUACAGAGGAAUACAGCGACGGUACUAGCUGGACUUUGACAUCAGACAAAUCUAGAGUUGAACCUGUCAGCAGUGUCACAUACCAGCCGUGCGUCCCCAGGCAAGCUGCUACCCUCCGAUGCUCAGAUUCUUCAUCUAUAAAGUGGGAGCAAUAUGAGUCACUGCCAGGCUGCUGCAACAAUGCCACGUCAUAAUUUUUGUAGAGCUCUCUCUACAUUACCUGGGCAUGUGUGUGCUCAGUCAUGCCCUUUGAAAACAUUGUUUAUUUCAGACAUACAAUGAAAGGAGAUCUAGAAAGAAAUCGCUUUGUCACUGUACAAAGGCCAGGAAUCCUGCACAGCCAUCAGAAAGGAUAACUGUCAUUAGUGCUCCUAGCAAAUGUUUGUUAGGGGGCCUGCGAUAGUCCCGCCGGCCAGAGGCCCUCUUUAAUUAAAGCCUUCACUGUUCAUUAUUGAACACUGCCACCUGGUGGAGAGAGAGGCCUCAUGCAGGCAUGGAAACAGCAGAGGUUACAUCAGGGUACCCCACCCUGGACCAGGAGGAUGUUGGGGCCACCUCGACCACAAUGCUUUCAGCAUCUUGACUUGGAGCUAGGCCCGCGGGGAGAUCUCUGGAUUCCUGUUUAUGUGGACUCCCCUUCAUCUUCGCUCAUUUGUCACAGUGACACAAAGGUGAAAAAAGAGUCUUCCAUCGACCACAGGAUCUGAGCCGAAGGGCAGCCAUCUCUGACAACAUGAUCUGAAGACCCCUCCUCCGUUACCCUAACCCAAUCACCUUUUUGGUUUCUACA